rnacentral:rRNA from 1 species
GUAGGUGGCAAGCGUUGUCCGGAAUUAUUGGGCGUAAAGCGCGCGCAGGCGGUUCUUUAAGUCUGAUGUGAAAGCCCACGGCUCAACCGUGGAGGGUCAUUGGAAACUGGAAAACUUGAGUACAGAAGAGGAAAGCGGAAUUCCACGUGUAGCGGUGAAAUGCGUAGAGAUGUGGAGGAACACCAGUGGCGAAGGCGGCUUUCUGGUCUGUAACUGACGCUGAGGCGCGAAAGCGUGGGGAGCAAACAGGGAUUAGAUACCCUGGUAGUCCACGCCGUAAACGAUGAGUGCUAAGUGUUAGGGGGGUUUCCCGCCCCUUAGUGCUGCAGCUAACGCAUUAAGCACUCCGCCUGGGGAGUACGCCGCAAGGCUG